UACGUAGGGUGCAAGCGUUAAUCGGAAUUACUGGGCGUAAAGCGUGCGCAGGCGGUUGUGCAAGACAGAUGUGAAAUCCCCCGGGCUCAACCUGGGAACUGCAUUUGUGACUGCAUAGCUAGAGUACGGUAGAGGGGGGAUGGAAUUCCGCGUGUAGCAGUGAAAUGCGUAGAGAUGUGGAGGAAUACCGAUGGCGAAGGCAGCCUCCUGGGCCAACACUGACGCUCAUGCACGAAAGCGUGGGGAGCAAACAGG
rnacentral:rRNA from 1 species